GUCGCGCUUGCCUAGAUGAUAAAGGCGUCGUCAGUGAAGAUGACAAAAGUUGCAGGUUCAAAUCCUGCCUGCGAUG